CCUACGGGUGACAGCAGUGGGGAAUAUUGCACAAUGGGGGCAACCCUGAUGCAGCGAUGCCGCGUGAGUGAAGAAGGGCCUCGGAGCGUAAAGCUCUGUCAGCAGGAAGGAUAAUGACGGUACCUGAAGCAGAAGCCCCGGCUAACUACGUGCCAGCAGCCGCGGUAAUACGGAGGGGGCAAGCGUUAUCCGGAUUUACUGGGUGUAAAGGGAGCGUAGACGGCGGUGCAAGUAUGGAGUGAAAGGCCGGGGUCCAACCCCGGAACCGCUCUGGAAACUGGCCGGCUAGAGUGCUGGUGAGGUAAGCGGAAUUCCUAGUGUAGCGGUGAAAUGCGUAGAGAUUAGGAGGAACACCAGCGGCGAAGGCGGCUUACUGGACCAUGACUGACGUGGAGGCUCGAAAGCGUGGGGAGCAAACAGGAUUAGAUACCCGGGUAGUC
rnacentral:rRNA from 1 species